rnacentral:tRNA from 2 species
GGGCCGUUAGCUCAGUUGGUAGAGCAGGUGGCUCUUAACCACUUGGUCGGGAGUUCGAGUCUCCCACGGCCCACCA